CACAAGAAACAGUUACACCUUUAUUGAAUGACCUAACUACAAAUUUAAACCACGGUAGAUGCCAGAGCUGCAUUUUACUGCUCAUUGGGCUGGACAAACAUUGGAGCAGUACUCACCCUCAGAGAGUUUGUAACUUCUGUGUUUCAGAAUAAGCUUGUUUCUAAUCUUGCAUUCCUAUAAUCGACCAGCUACUACAUGAGUAUAAUUUUCCACAUACUUGCUUGUGUGCUACACUUUUUACCAGAGGAUUCCACUAGGGGGCGCAUCAGAGAAAGACCAGAUGCAGUAGCUGAAUUUGUCAGGUGGAAACAGAGUAAUAAACAUGGCAGCAACAGAGGUUGGCAUUUGGCUCAUUUUAAAAUCAUGGUAGAAAAAUUUCAGCAGUGGUAUCAUAGAUGUUGUGUAAGAACCAUAAAUAAAGCAUGCUGUGUCUUGUCUUCUAAAUAUUCUGUCAUUAACCACUUGUACGUGCAAUUAAAAGCAAGAUAUCAUGGAGUCUAUUGCAUCUGCAAGGGUAAAGAAAAGAGCUUUAAACAGAAAUUACACAAUGAUCCGUGCAGAGAAAAGAGUGUCACAAAGCUGAACACAGAUGGCAAAAAACAAAUCCCUACAUCCACUCUAACAGCUAUAAAGACAGAUCCGUAGUACAGAACUAAAAAAAUACAAGGCAGCCCUUCUUUUCAAGAGUUAUUACUAAACACAGCAGCAAUUCUUGUCUUGUUUGCUACUUUUGAUCAGCUGACACCCACAAUAUCCUGGUUGUUCCAGGCCUACCGCUCAGGCCUAGGACCUGGACUCUGUGGACUAUUCUGUUCCCCUAAAUUCAGCUCAGACAGCUGCUAAAAAAACCUCAGAGGAAACCGUGCAGAAGUUAAAGUGGCCAUCCUGCUCUCUUGAUAAUC